UACGGGGGGGCUAGCGUUAUUCGGAAUCAUUGGGCGUUAAAGGGCGCGUAGGCGGCGUCGGUAAGUCAAAGGUGAAAAUUCCCUCGGCUCAACUGAGGAACUGCCUUUGAAACUGCCGUGCUUGAGUCCGGGAGGGGGUAGCGGAAUUCCCAGUGUAGCGGUGAAAUGCGUAGAUAUUGGGAGGAACACCAGUGGCGAAGGCGGCUACCUGGACCGGUACUGAACGCUGAUGCGCGAAAGCGUGGGGAGCAAACAGGAUUGAG
rnacentral:rRNA from 1 species